rnacentral:rRNA from 3 species
UGGUGGGUAGUUUGACUGGGGCGGUCUCCUCCUAAAGAGUAACGGAGGAGCACGAAGGUUGGCUAAUCCUGGUCGGACAUCAGGAGGUUAGUGCAAUGGCAUAAGCCAGCUUGACUGCGAGCGUGACGGCGCGAGCAGGUGCGAAAGCAGGUCAUAGUGAUCCGGUGGUUCUGAAUGGAAGGGCCAUCGCUCAACGGAUAAAAGGUACUCCGGGGAUAACAGGCUGAUACCGCCCAAGAGUUCAUAUCGACGGCGGUGUUUGGCACCUCGAUGUCGGCUCAUCACAUCCUGGGGCUGAAGUAGGUCCCAAGGGUAUGGCUGUUCGCCAUUUAAAGUGGUACGCGAGCUGGGUUUAGAACGUCGUGAGACAGUUCGGUCCCUAUCUGCCGUGGGCGCUGGAGAACUGAGGGGGGCUGCUCCUAGUACGAGAGGACCGGAGUGGACGCAUCACUGGUGUUCGGGUUGUCAUGCCAAUGGCACUGCCCGGUAGCUA